CAAUCUACCAUCAUUAUUAUUUCAGUUUGUUUGUUCCAGAUUUCCAAUAAGAAAGUCUAAUUGUUCAGCUUGAGACCCUUCUUCUCUCUACUCCUUCUUCAACAAAGACGCUUCAAUCUGGUUCCCUUGGCCUCCCCAUCUCCAUUCGCCGAUGAGCGUAACUAGGAAUGCAACCUACUAGGUAAAUCAUUUCCUCUUCCUUUAAAAUCGUCGUGGCUAAACUAUGCGCUAACUGAUUAGCCAAUCUAUGUGCAUGUCUGAAUAGACUAGAACAAAAUCCUUAUUUUUCUCUUUGAAUAUCUCUAAUGUGUGUGCUAAUUUGUGAUUUGUCUGCUAAAACUGCUUUGCAUUUGGUAAUGACGGACUUGGAAUCCCCUUCCACUAUCGCCUCUACCAACCCCUGAAACCACUGCCUUUAAACAUACGAGGGCCUCUACUGCAAAGGUCGACCCCACACCAGUGUGCAACUGCAGCUUCGAGACCAGAACCUCCCCUUUCACAUUUCUUACUAUAACCCCCGAGGCAAAUUUGUGGUGUUGGCUAUCGUUCACAGCAUCAAAGUGGAUUUUGAGGUAUGAGCCUUCCCAUGGUCUCUAUUCUUCCUUUACUCCAAAAUAGGUUCUCCUUUCCUCUUCCAACCUGCCCAGCUCCUGAAUAUAGUUGAUAAUGAAAUUAGUCACUCCUAAACUAGAUUGGACCUUCCCUUCAUGAAUGUUCCUAUUUCUAUCCAUUCAUAGAGCCCAAAUAGCACAGCAAACCAGCUGUCUUUAAGACAUAGAGCUCCUCUCGAAAACCUGGGAUAUUCGUAGAAGACAUACUAGAGGGUCUCAAUAGCCAACUUGCACAUGGGACAACUUCUACUCUGAAUCAGCCUUCUAAAGUAUAGAUUACAUUAUUCCAGAGAUCCUACUGUGUUAGAAGGGUUCUCCAGUUCCAGUUGGAUAUCUGAUAUUCAAGAUACCAAAGACACAAAUGGUUAUAUUUUCACAUUGGGAGGAAGAGUUGUGUCAUGGAAAUCCUUAAGGCAAACGAUUAUAACCAGAUCCACAAUGGAAUCUAAGUUUGUAGCUCUGAACAAAUCUGGAGAAGAGGUAGGAUGGCCACAAAACUUUUUAGUGGAUAUUCUUUAAUGGCCAAAACCUGUGCCCACAAUAUGCAUAUAUUGUGAUAACCAAGCAACAAUUGGUAAAGCACAGAACGUAAUGUAUAAUGGUAAGUUGAGACACACGCAUCAUUGACACAAUACCGUUAGAUAACUGAUCUCAACUGGAGUUAUCUUUA